UUAUAUAUUACCCAAAAAUAAAAUUAUUAUGUUUAAUAUUCCUUCCAUCCCAAUUUAAUAGUCCAUUUGUUUUUUUUUCCUUUCUCAAAAAAAUAAUUGUCCUUCAAAGUCAAAAUAAAAAUAAAUGAUGGGUCGGGUCUGGGUAAUGUGUCCGACCCAUUAACAUUGCCAGCCGUCGGAGUGAAAUCCUCAUUUCUGCUUCCCAUCAAGAGAGAGAAGAGAGGGGAUCUAUGAGAGAGAGAGUGAAGAACAUCUACGAGUACUGAUAAAGCCCAUGGGGCAUUCCAGAGGGAGAACAUUGACACCCAAAGAGGCUCACAGAUCACCCGAAGAUGUCAUCCAAGCAUGUUUUGAAUCCACCCAUUUUUCACCCUUUUGUUUUGGGUUCUAUUUGAAACAUAGCAAAUGAUUUGUAAUUCAUCACAUAGAACCCCAGAAAGGGAAGAACCAAAAGAGCCUUCUACUAUUUGCAACUGCAUUCCCCAAAGAUACAAGUGAAAUUUGAGUAAUGCCCUUAUUUCCAUUUUUAGAUUGGAUUUUAAAGUAAUUUUUAGUUUUUGUUGUUGAUGGCAUAUAUGUUAUAUGGGAUUUAUACUGAUUUUUCAGCUUUUAACCUAUGAAUAGUAUAUGACAAAUAUAUCGAUUUGGAGUCCACCCACAUCUUGGCUUUUGACUUCUAAUUAUUAAAGAUUAGGGCACAAUAACAUUCAAAUUAGUUUUUAUUUAUCUACUAUUUGCAACUGCAUUCCCCAAAGACACAAGUGAAAUUUGAGUAAUGCCCUUAUUUCCAUUUUUAGAUUGGAUUUUAAAGUAAUUUUUAGUUUUUGUUGUUGAUGGCAUAUAUGUUAUAUGGGAUUUAUACUGAUUUUUCAGCUUUUAACCUAUGAAUAGUAUAUGACAAAUAUAUCGAUUUGGAGUCCACCCACAUCUUGGCUUUUGACUUCUAAUUAUUAAAGAUCAGAGCACAAUAACAUUCAAAUUAGUUUUUAUUUAUCUAUCUCACACAUAUUUAGUUUGUUGCAUUUCUCUAUCAUGUAUUUAAUGUGGUUCCUUUAUCUGCUGUACAAAUGAGUCUCCUUCUUCAGAAAUUUUAUGCCAUAAACGUGAUGUAGUUGAUUCAAUUAUACAAUUGUCACAAUCUGAUGGUAAGCAGUUUAUGAACUUCCAAACCCUUCCAAAUGGUCACCGAAGUUUGAGUGUUCUACUCGCAGGACCAAGCAUUUGAGGGCAAUCUCUUACCACCAAAAUGGACAAUAUACUUUUAACACUUAUUUGGGUAUUCUUGUAACUUGAGCUUAGAACUGUGAAUUUUUGUGCAUUUUUUUGUUGAUGUACAAUUAAUGCCUGGCAACUCACAAUUUUGAGUUUGGAGUGUCACAGUUUGCCUGGUUGCUUGGAACUUGUUGACAGAGAAAUCCUUAUGUUUCUUCUUGCCUGUUUUAUUGGUUAUAAAAAUCUAACCUAUUACAAGACAGGGAAACUGAAAGUAUAACUUACCGAACAACCAAGCAGUCUACAGGGACAGGAAGUCAUGUUUUUUUAGAACAAUUAAGUCAAAAUAUAUAUAUAUAUAUAUAUAUAUAUAUAUAUAUAUAUAGUAUUUAUAUGUUCUGAAAAUGCACUUACUGUGUUUGAACACAUCUUUGACACAAAAAAAAACUUGUUCUAGUAAAUAAUAUAACACCAAAGAACAGUUCCACGCCCUUUUCACAGAGCACAAGUGCCAUACCCGCUCUUCUAAUAACGAUGCCAUCGGCAGAAGAAUAACCUGAUGUUUAUGUAAUUUUGGUUUGUUGCUGGCUCUCUUCUGUUGGAUUUCACUCUUGCAUCUGCACAUCUCUUGAAGUUCCUUUUGCUGCCGUUCAUC